rnacentral:rRNA from 1 species
UCUGGUGCCAAUGGCAAAGAGGUCACACCUGUUCCCAUGCCGAACACAGAAGUUAAGCUCUUUAGCGCCGAUGGUAGUCGGACUGA